CCUAGAGUUGUAGGCCUUGCCUGCUAUCUCUUACCCAUGUCUUUUGAGUACCUUACGUUUCCUCGGUGGGUUCGCCCACCGAUUGGACAAACUUAAACCCUUUGCAGUUGAAAUCAGCGUCUGAAAAAACUUAAUAGUUA
rnacentral:misc_RNA from 1 species